UUAAGGAAAGUGUACUAAGUAAUUGCAACACAAACACUGACUUAAUCAGUUUUAACACAAAAAGAUCCCGACGAAAGAAGAGGAGACGCGGGCCGCUAGGGUGGAGAAAAGAAGAACUGUUCAGGAAGCAGCAAGCGCAUCAACCUCUGAGCAAACAACAGAGAAAGAAUAUGGAAACUAUAAGUGAAGUGUAUUCACUGCACAUUAUCCGCCGUUACUGCAAUUCAUAGGCUCACCAUUCCAGAGGACAUGUGUCGUAGCUCCCACUUCUGCCUUGAAGCCACGCACCUUCUGGGACACUGUUGCUAAGCCAAUUCCCUCUUCCUUCCACAGCAUUGAGGGACGUCAGUCAGAAGACGUGUGACAUCAUUUCCUCUACACGUCAGGAAACCCUGUCCCUUCAGGGAUCCCACUAUAUAACAUAGACAGCCACAUCAGCCCAAAGAAACAGAACAGGAGAUGAGAAAAGAUGAGAAGGACCACCAAAAACUGAGUCUAAUAUUACAGGCACCUGGUCAAAACUGGAAGGAACAGAAUCAGGAGUCAAGUCAAAAAUAAAGUAACAACAUUCUGAGUGAAAAAAUGAAAGCAAAGAUAUUGGCUACCUAAUAGUCUUAUCCUUUUAAAAACAGCUAGUUUAACAGAUUUUUUUUUAAAUUUAGAAAUGUCCAUAAACUUGGACAUUGAGAAUACUGUGCCACCAUCUUAUAUACUGACCACAAUAUAAUGUCACAUGCAGUGUGUUGGUCAUGAAAUCUCAUGUGAACUGAUGGAUCGUGUGGUAAAAAUGUGACUCAAAAAGGUGACAUGAUGAAGUCACUAACAUAACAAUGAAAAAAUCAAAGAAUAAUAUCUCAAAAGGAUCAAAAUAUCCAGGCAACUCAGAAAAUGAAUGUUUAUAAGAUAAUUGUGACAGCUAGAAGUCAGGUGACAGAGCAAAGGCUUGUAAUGU